AUUUUUCCUUGGCAGCAGAGAUACUGUGAUCGCAAAGGUGGUGUUCCCAGGGCAAAGCUUACCUGCUGCACUCCAGUUGUGCUGACACUUGUGAUUUCGCCAAAUGUGGGGAAGUUGUCCAACGCCAUAACUCGUGGGAGUGGGGGACAGCCUUCAUGCUCCCCUCUG